GUUGUCGCAUAUCAAAUGAAAGAUAAUCAAGUCUAGAUUACAUAUAUCAUACUUCCGAUAUCAAAAAUGUAGGCGGAUGGGGUCAUUAAGUGUAAAAAGUGAAAAUUUUCAGAAGGUAUGCUUGUCGUAUAUCAAAUGAAAGGUCGUACAAAGUACAUUACGAAAACAUCACUUUAACAGGAAAGACCUUUCAAUUGUUUUACAAACAAUUGAGAUACUAGUUUUUCUAAUGUUUUUUUUUCUUUUUUUUCUUUUUUUCCUUUUUUUCUUCCAACAUUUUUUUGACAGGCCCGCCCCUAGUUUCUUUUGGAGUUGUCAAGCCCAAAUAUGGACCAUCGAUAGACCUCAUUAUGAAGUAUGACCAGAUGACCCUGUUAAGGAUUUCAUCAUCCACUUUAGAAGUUAUCUCCCUUUUAUUGGAUUUUUUCAAGAUGGCCCCCCCUCGUUGUUUUUAAAGAUAUCAUAACCUUAUUUGUACAAUAGGUAGAUCUCAUCAUGAUGUAUUACCAUGUGAGGCUGCGUAGGAUUUCAUCAUCCCCUUUGAGAGUUAUAUCCCCUUGAAGCAAUUUCUUUUAUUUGCAUUUUUCUUAAAAAGUAUUAGAGAUAGAAUCGAAUUGAAAAUGGUAGCAUCUACAAGAACAGAUGGCAAUGUUAAUAAACAUAAACAAUUAGUUUGUUAUCAACCCUUAUAAGGAGUUAUUUCCCUUUCAAAAUGAUACACAAUUUAAGAAAAAAUCUAUUUCGAGAACCGGAAGUCGUAGAGACUUGGGACCUUCACCAAUAAUCUUUAAUUCAUGUGACCUUUAAUUUGCACCCG